rnacentral:rRNA from 1 species
ACCUGCGGAAGGAUCAUUGUCGUGACCUGACCAAAACAGACCGCGAACAUGUCAUCUAUGCAGCCGGCUGAUAGGGCUUGCACCUGUCUCUCGGCCUGAGCCACCAUCCUUCUUACAGAAGGACGGGGUGCCAAAAGAACCCACGACGCCGUAGGGCGUCAAGGAAAACCAAUAUUGCCUUGCGUGGGGCCGCGGCCGGCUUGCCGGAUGCAAACCCAGUGCAGCGAUGCUAUGGAAAAUCACAAGACUCUCGGCAACGGAUAUCUCGGCUCUUGCAUCGAUGAAGAACGUAGCAAAAUGCGAUACCUGGUGUGAAUUGCAGAAUCCCGUGAACCAUCGAGUUUUUGAACGCAAGUUGCGCCCGAGGCCUUGCGGCUGAGGGCACGUCUGCCUGGGCGUCACGCCAAAAGACACUCCACACGAUUUCCGGUCUGGAUGUGGUGUUUGGCCCCUCAUCCCGUAGUGUAUGGUGGGCCAAAGACGCGGCUGCCGGCGGUGCCGGUCACAGCACAUGGUGGAUGACACAAGUUAUUCUCGGUGUUAUGAUCCGGACAACUCCCGGUCAUGCUAAUGCCCCUUUGGACCCGUGGUUUUGGUGCCAUGAAGCUCGGACCGCGACCCCAGGUCAGUCGGGACUACCCGCUGAAUUUAAGCAUAUCAAUAAGCGG